rnacentral:rRNA from 1 species
CCUACGGGUGGCUGCAGUGGGGAAUAUUGGGCAAUGGGCGCAAGCCUGACCCAGCAACGCCGCGUGAAGGAAGAAGGCCCUCGGGUUGUAAACUUCUUUUGUCAGGGACGAAGAAAGUGACGGUACCUGACGAAUACGCCACGGCUAACUACGUGCCAGCAGCCGCGGUAAUACGUAGGUGGCAGGCGUUAUCCGGAUUUAUUGGGUUUAAAGGGUGCGCAGGCGGCGAGUUAAGUCAGCGGUAAAAUUUCGGGGCUCAACCCCGACGAGCCGUUGAAACUGGCUUGCUAGAGUGGGCGAGAAGUAUGCGGAAUGCGUGGUGUAGCGGUGAAAUGCAUAGAUAGCACGCAGAACUCCGAUUGCGAAGGCAGCAUACCGGCGCCCAACUGACGCUCAGGCACGAAAGCGUGGGUAGCGAACAGGAUUAGAUACCCGGGUAGUC